UACGUAGGGACCAAGCGUUGUUCGGAUUUACUGGGCGUAAAGGGCGCGUAGGCGGCGUGGUAAGUCACUUGUGAAAUCUCUGAGCUUAACUCAGAACGGCCAAGUGAUACUGCUGUGCUAGAGUGCAGAAGGGGCAAUCGGAAUUCUUGGUGUAGCGGUGAAAUGCGUAGAUAUCAAGAGGAACACCUGAGGUGAAGACGGGUUGCUGGGCUGACACUGACGCUGAGGCGCGAAAGCUAGGGGAGCAAACGGG
rnacentral:rRNA from 1 species